rnacentral:rRNA from 1 species
UACGGAGGGUGCAAGCGUUAUCCGGAUUCACUGGGUUUAAAGGGUGCGUAGGCGGGCAGGUAAGUCCGUGGUGAAAUCUCUGAGCUUAACUCAGAAACUGCCAUGGAUACUAUUUGUCUUGAAUAUUGUGGAGGUAAGCGGAAUAUGUCAUGUAGCGGUGAAAUGCUUAGAUAUGACAUAGAACACCAAUUGCGAAGGCAGCUUACUACACAGUUAUUGACGCUGAGGCACGAAAGCGUGGGGAGCGAACAGG